AUGGGCGAUAAACCCAGCUGUCAGCCGUUGGAGCUGCUGGAUAGCUACGAAGCAGGCGAAGAGGAGCCUGAAACUCCGAGGAGGUCGGCGGACAGCCUGGAUAUUGAUGGUGAGACAGAUGAUACAAGCACCGAGUCACUCCCAUCUGCAUCUUCUGUGUCUUCUGCACCAUCUACAUCUGGAGAAAGCUCAUCAGCUGCAGGCAUUACAGAGACCACUGGAAGAAGCACAACAGCCACCAAGUCCUCUGGAACUACAUCUGCCAAGAGCAGGAAAAGGAAGACCAAGAUGGAAGCAACACAGGAAAUCUUCACUGAAAAGAUCAGCAGUGCCCUCAACAACACAGACGACACUGAGCUUCAAUUGAAAAUGCAAGCAGCACAGCAUGAACAUGAGCUCAAAAUGCUCUCAAUGUUCACACAGUUUCUUGCCAGGUCAAAUUCCCCAUGUCCACCUUUCUACCAGGCACCAGUCCAGCCCUCACAGUACAACCCAACUGCCGCCUCAGCCGACCUUUUACAACUUUACUCAGCCUCCUAAAUUUAGCACGGGUUCACCUCAGCCUCCACCAUGUAACGAGACAACCAACCAGCCUCUAUCUUUCCUGCAAGAUCUGGCUCAACCUCUACCUUUCAACCAUCCCCCUGCACAUCCUCCAGAUCUACCUCAGCCCUUCAGCCAGGUGUCAGCACACCCUCAAGGUCCAGCUCAGCAGCCCUUCAGCCAGGACUCAGGACAUCCACCAUUCUACCGACCUCCAGGUGAUGAGGAAAAGUAAAUCAGAUCACGAUAUUGUGAAUUGCUUUCAGUAUUGUUGGUCAAUCUAUGCAAAGUGUAUCCAUCAUUAUAAAGGUUAAUUACAGUUCAGAUUAUAUUUGACAGUUUGAUUUCAGGUUACAGUUUUAACGUUAUGUAGUUUUAUUAAACCGACAGAGACU
rnacentral:lncRNA from 1 species